rnacentral:rRNA from 1 species
AACGAACGCUGGCGGCAGGCUUAACACAUGCAAGUCGAGCGCCCCGCAAGGGGAGCGGCAGACGGGUGAGUAACGCGUGGGAACGUACCCUUUGCUACGGAAUAGCUCCGGGAAACUGGAAUUAAUACCGUAUGUGCCCUACGGGGGAAGGAUUUAUCGGCAAAGGAUCGGCCCGCGUUGGAUUAGCUAGUUGGUGGGGUAAUGGCCUACCAAGGCGACGAUCCAUAGCUGGUCGGAGAGGAUGAUCAGCCACACUGGGACUGAGACACGGCCCAGACUCCUACGGGAGGCAGCAGUGGGUAAUAUUGGACAAUGGGCGCAAGCCUGAUCCAGCCAUGCCGCGUGAGUGAUGAAGGCCUUCGGGUUGUAAAGCUCUGUCAGAUGGGACGAUGAUGACGGUACCAUCAGAAGAAGCCCCGGCUAACUUCGUGCCAGCAGCCGCCGUAAAAC